UUCAUGGCCAUGGCCCUCUUAAUCUUCUGCGCCUCAUCCUCUUCCUCCACUAAAAACUAAUACUACAAGAGUAAAAGGGAUGGAUCUUUUCUCCCCUUCAAACAUCUAAUCCAUUCUUUUCCCGUAGUCUCCACCCCGUGUCCCCGAUCGCCGACCUACACGGCCGCCGGCCGGUUCCUCCUCCUCUAAUGAGAUUAGAGUCCAGAAGGAACACGUCGGUGCGACUCCAGGCAGGGUCUCAACCAUGGCAUGGACUGGAGGGCCUUUCGUUUUGGCCUGCAAGGAAUGAGGUGGUGGCGACGCUGGGGCAAGAUAGGUGUCUGUGCGACUAGGCCCUGCUCCAGAUUCGUUGAUUUCUGCAACAAAAAAAUUGAAUCUUAAUUGAAGCCCACGCCGUCGAAGGCUCUCUCCUGCUGGUACGAUGUGCGUUGGAUAGGGAAAAUCUGGAUCCUCGCGUCACCACUGCGCCGUCGUGGCUGCCUGCUUGGCGAACCCGAAUCUCUCUGCAGAAAGCAAGGAUUCUUGGUCGCAAGGGUCACCGUCGCACAACCGGCCGACUCCACACUGAUUUGCAUAUACCAAAGAAAAGAGUCCUUUCGUGGGGACGCGAAUUUGGUGCUCACGGGUACGUGCGCACCCUAUAUGCGCCAAAUGAUUUAGAAAUUUAGAAAAAGUCAAAAAAAGAAUCUUAUUUGGAAUCAAAUAUGAUCAACCAUUACUCGGGUAAAAAUUUGGUCAAAGAAUGAUUCCCAUAGACUCCAGGGGUAAAAAAACAAAUCUAUGACGACAAUAUAGCGUGAAUAGUACUUGUAUAUAGUGUUUUUUGGCGAACCUUUGACCCAAGAUGAGAUGAAAUGACCUCUCUGUGAAAUCUUUUUAUACGAGUGCAUUGCUUGACCAUGUUUGAUCCCAAUAAAGAUUCGGAUUUUUUGACUUUUUUUAAUUACUAUUUUUUUUUCAUAUAGGGUGUGCAUGUACCCAAGAGCACCAAUGUAUUUCUCCCUUCCGUGGUCAUUUUAAUGGUAGACAGCAAAUACGUCAGUAUCCUUAGGGCAUGAACUAUGGAGGCAUCAUGUUGGUGAUGCCUCAUGCUCCACCUAGAUGAAGCAAAUAUGUCUCCUCCUUUCUCUUUCUAACUUCUUUUCAUCAUCCAUGGCCGGUCACCCACUCUCAUGUUCAUGCAUUUUCAUCAUCUUCAACUGAUUUACUCUCCCUUUUCUUUCUCUCUCUUCCCUUUCCCCUUUUCUUCAUCUUUUGCCAUGGAAGAAGUGGUUCCUCUGUAGGAAGCGGGUUCCCUCUAAAAGCAGUUGAUUAAGCUCAUUUGGACCACUUUGGCUGGUGUGCCCUUCUGUGUUUGUUGUUGAAUUCUUAUCUCUACAUUCUAAUUGACCGUCUAACUAAAUACGGGAGCUCAUAUAUAUAACUCAGCAUUGCGUUGUUUUCUCUCUCUGCCUUUGUUACCGAGAUGGUGCCCCCUGCGGCCCUGAAUGUGGGCCUAUGAUUGGAACUAGCAUAGUUGCCGAUAAAUUCAUGCACCGGAACACCACAUCCCCUGGCUAGCUACGAUACAUCAAUUCAAAACCAAUGUUUUGUAGUGUCUCUCAAACAUGUUAUAUGUCUAAGCAUGGAGAUGCAACUGAACUUCGAUUUUAACAUGUAUGCUUGUUUUAGUACAUUAAUUCGAUAUUGAAGCUAUGAAAGUUUAUCCUGCAAUUUGUCUUGUUAGAUUGCACAAUUUUUGGUUGAAGCUUCGUCUUUAUUGGAACCAUGUGCUCUGGAGCUUGUGCAUGUCCUUGAAAUAACAACCUAGUAGGCUUUGGUGCAUUUUUUUGAAAUAAGGUGAAAAUUUCAAAUUCAUGGACAUUUUUUUUCAAAUUUGGGAACAUUUAAAAAUUGAUGAUCAUUUUCUGAAAUUCAGAAUUAAUUUGGAAAUCCAGGAAUAUUUUCUAGAUUCACAAAAUAGUUAAUACAAAUUUA